CCCCUUCCUUUAUUACAUAAUUACAUUUAAGUCCCUUAAGUAUUUAUACGAGGUCUAAAUACGAGGCCCUAAAUAUGGUAUAAACAGUAGUCCCCCAAGUCUUCAGUCAAGAGAGUCUUUUGGCUGGAGACUUGAAAUUCAGUUCAUGUGUGGGCCGAAGUAACUAGAUGUUGUCUUGAACUGAUGUUCGAUAUGAGGCAGUGCUCAAUCUAAAAUGACGCUCAACUAGAAGUAGCAUACGCUGCGAGGCUGCUCGGCUCGUGGCUUAUGUUGCCUUGGUUAGCUCGGCUUGCGGCGUUUGAAAGUGAGGGAGUCCCUUUUAUAGAAUAAGGGCUCACUCCUCAAUACAUGGAUGAUGGGUUAGAGUUGAUGCUCUCUAAUAGUGGUGAGGGAGUCCCUUUUAUAGAAUAAGGGUUCGCUCCUCAAUACAUAAGUGAGGGGUUAGAGUUGAUGCUCGCAGCGAGGCGGUUGCUCAGUAGGCGGCGAUGCUCUCUAAUGGUGAUGAGAGAGUCCCUUUUAUAGAAUAAGGGCUCGCUCCUCAAUACAUAAGUGAUGGGUUAGGAGUGAUGCUUGCGGCGAUGCGAUUGCUUAGUAGGCGGCGAUGUUCUCUAAUGGUGGUGAGGGAGUCCCUUUUAUAGAAUAAGGGCUCGCUCCUCAAUACAUAAAUCAUGGGUGAUUUUUUAAUGAAAGUGAGGGAGUCCCUUUUAUAGAAUAAGGGCUCGCUCCUCAAUACAUAAAUAAUGGGCUAGAGUCCCCCAAGUAUUUUUCAUAAGGCCCAAUUGAGGCCCAAUAUAUGGUACAUAAUGUAUUCCCCCAAGUCUUCGGUCAAUAGAGUCUGUUGGCUGGAGACUUCAAAUUGAAUCCAUGUAUGGGCCGAAGUGGCGGUUGUUCGGAGGCGGUAUUUGUAUACCCUGCACUGAAGCUUUGUAGGUGAAGCUUUGCAAGUGAAGCUUUGAAGCUAGAGCUCUGUAAAUGAAGCUUUCGAAGCUGGAGCUUUUGUAAAUAAAGCUUUUGAAGCUGAUUGACAUGAGUGAUGCUCAUGAAUGUUUAUGUUGAUUGACAUGAGUGAUACUCAUGGAUGUUGUCAUGAGUGAUGCUCAUGAAUGUUAACAUGAGUUAUGCUCAUGAAUGUUGACAUGAAUGAUGGUCACGAAUGUUUAUGCAUGAUUGUCAUGAGUGAUGCUCAUAAAUGUUUAUGUAUGAAUGACAUGAAUACUGCUCAUGUAUAAUUUAGAGUAUUGGGCGUACUUUUGAUCACCUAGUUGGUGGCAUGAAGGAAAGUAAGGGUUGUACAUUUCAUCACCUGGUUGGUGGCAUAAAUGGCUAGUUGCCAAAUUAGAGUACGGGUUGUACAUUUCAUCACCUGAUUGGUGGCUUAAAUGGCUAGUUGCCAAAUGAUAUUAGAGUACGGAUUGUACAUUUCAUCACCUGGUUGGUGGUAAUAGCGGCGGGUUGCCGAAUAAUUGUGGAGUACUUGGUGUACUUUUGAUGACCUGGUUAGUGCUAUUUCGGGCUUAUGGGUCUUCGCCCUCCACAACAUGCCAGCCCAUUUGUUUUGGGCUUUGCCGUUUUUUUUUUUUUUUUUAACCCUCUGAUGGGGUUUAUACAUAUUACCCUCUGAUGGGGUUUAUACAGAUGUCUCCGAAAGAUAAUAAAAAUAAAUUACAUCAUACAUUUGUUAAAAAUAAAUCCGACCCUCUGCUCAAUAGGUCAUGCCCAUAAUUCCCUUUUAUGCAUGCUAUCACCAUCGUAAUUAUGUCUGCUUUUGCUUUCCUCUUUUCUUUUCCUCUUUUCUUUUCUGCUUUGCUUUUGCUUUCUCAGAAAAUGGGAAACAUGCAUGAUAAAAGUGUGGGCAUCUUCUUUGUUGCUUUUCCUCUCCCGCUUUGUUGGUUGUAAAUGUCAGUAUACUCCAAUUGUAAAAGGACUGCAUACUGACCCACGCCCCCAAAGGCAGCAGUAAUCAAUAUGUUUUUUUGCUGACCGCUUCCGUCCAGCUUGAUCCUAGCAGAUUUCGUGAGACACUGGUGAGCUGUGAGGGUAGCAACAUGUAAGCCGACAUCUUAAGUGUGUUAAGGAGUGAUGAUUUUUUCUUUUUAAUAGCACAGUGGGCCAUCCAUAAGUGUAAAUCUGUCAUCUAUGAGUGUGCCAAGGAUGGCAGACCACGCAUUGCCUCGUCAGUGUCCCACUAUGGUAUUUCCAUACCCCAACCACCCCUCGCAUCGAGGGCGCUCCUUUCCGGUCCCGCUCGAGUCCCAUCAAUAUUAUUUGUCGCCACUAGAUUCACUUUUACCACCUCAUACGACCCCACAAAUUUGGUUUUACAUGCCACUCGUCCCACUCGCAUCGUGUUUCGCGCAACUACCCACUCACAUCGCCGUCGGCGCUACCGCCGCAUACUAUCAACUUCAUCUUGCUUCUGCUCUGUGAAGGAAUUUUCUGGGUUGGUUCUGGAAUUUCUAGAAUUUGGGAUUUGGAGGAUUGGGAGGCGGCCUCCUCAGUGGUGCUGGUCUAUGUGGAAUAACAGAACGGAAAAAUAGGCCAUUUACCCAACACACCCUUGCGUUCUGUGCGUUUCUUCAACAGCACCUGAUUUCUUCUUUCCACGCUUUGGCUUCUCAAAGGGUUGAUGAACUUGGAGACGGUGGAUGAAAACCCUAGGCUGGGAGGAGCCACAUGGGUUUUGGAUAUUUACGAUGAUUGGGAGCAGGGUAGAAGGCAAGAGAGCUCCAAUGGUGCCACAGUAGUAAACAGAGGUGACGGCCCUGUAGAAAGUGCUCUAUCUCUCUGUACUUAGAGCGCUUUCUGACGGCGGAGGCAACGGGGUGGGUCACGGGCGGAAGGAACAAAAUUCAAGAUUUAGCAGAUCUUGAAGAAGAGGAGGAAAGCUUCUGCCUGGUUUCAGAACAGUCUUCAGCAUCGCUCUCAUCCCUGCCACAAGCAGUGGUGGCGACAUCAUGGUCCACCGAUCCACAAGGUUUGUCAAUGGCGGAAGAAGACUCACGGUUCAGUGACGCCAUAGCCAAAGGUAUAGUCUUUCCGAAUAGCUUUAUCAUGUGGCCUCCUCCUCCUUCACCCUCAGACGACAUUCUUGUAAUUCGAUCAAAACCCAGAAUGUCAUGGAACAGGUGUUUGCGGCUGAGAGCUGGAGCGCGGAUCUUGGAGAGGAGAUGGUGUGGAGAAGAUGACGAGGAACACAGGUGUGGGGUUCGUGGUGGCGAAUCCGAGAGAGGACGGAGAUGAUGGUCCUUGUUAGUGGGCUCCGGGAGGUGGGUGCGGGCCUGGGUAUAUGUCUGGGCUUGCAGCUGCUGAAGCCUGAAUCUUUUGGUUUGGAUCUACUGAGGCGUGAUGGGUGUUGAAGCUGGAGAGGUGUCAGAUCCGGAUCAUCGGGCGAGUUGGGCUGGGUUAACGAGUCAGCAGGCUCGGAGGUGGAGGGAACGUCUAAGAGAGACGAAGGGAGAAGCUGAGACCGUGCAGCAGAGAGAUGAAGAGACGAGAGAAGCUGACGUUAAAGAGUGAUCUGAUGGAGAGUUGUGAUUUUUGUUAGGAAAACGGGAGAGUGUCGGUGCACUCACAGAGAGACGCAGAGAUCUGAUGAAAAUGAGAUGAUGGUUUGAUGGGUUUUUUUCUGGGUUCUUUUUGCAGAUACACGAGGAAGAUUGUGAAGGUUUCACGGUGGUGUGAUGAAAGAUUGAAAGAGAAUCGACGUAACUUUCGUGUCGAUUCCCACAGACGGCGCCAAAUGUUGAUGCACAAAACCACAAGUCUUGGUACAACGUAAAUCCGACCGUGAAUCUGCAAGUAAUGUAAAUAACACAAGAUGUAUCGUGGUUCACCCUAAGGUUUGGGCUACGUCCACAUUGAAUAUGUAUUUCUCUGAGAGUAUUUGUGAGAGAAGGAGCUCUGUAAAUGAAGAGCUUUGAGAGGGGGUGAGAGGCCUAGGGUUUGUGAGGGUGAGGAGGCCCUUUUAUAGAAUAAGGACUCCUCCCCUAAUUACAUAUUUGCCCCUUCCUUUAUUACAUAAUUACAUUUAAGUCCCUCGAGUAUUUAUACGAGGUCUAAAUACGAGGCCCUAAAUAUGGUAUAAACAUACUGAAAACCAAAAGGCCACACACUGGUAUGUCGAAGAGUCGUAGCCCCCGAGUUGCCCUUGACUGCGCUCGUCCUCGGGAUAAGUUUCCCCUAUAUGCGAAACAACUAUAAAAACGUUAAUUUAAAGCACAUAACCAAUAUUAGCUAAUAAUUUCUCAUACAUUGCUCAAAUGGGAUGUUUGAAUAUACCAACGUGAUCUACACAACCUCACGAACAUCCCCAUAUUUUUAGAAAAAAUUUCCGACAUCCCACGCGCCGUUAAGGGCACGGCAACACGCGCGGCCACGGGCAGGGAUCCUAAUGGAAUCCCUUAACCCCGUUAGGAAUAUUCCGUGAAAUAUUCUGUUAAAAAGUAACAAAAACCGUUAAUUCUACUUGACGGCGUCAGAAUAUUCCGUCAACUCUGAUGGAAUAUUCUAUCUUCUUUUCCGGUUAGCCUUGCCGGUCGCCGUCGCCUUUCACCGGAAACUAGAAAAUCACGAAAACCUUCAUAUCUCGUCCAAUUCUCAACCAAAUUCCACAAAACUUGAACCAAAUUGAAGCUUAGGACAAGUAGAACAAAACCUUACAUUUCAAAAGUCCUAAAACCGACGAAACUUGCCGAAAAAUCCUUCGAUAUUCCGGCUAAACCUGCAACUCCCUAUUCCCGAGCUUCCCAACGUCCAAAUCACUUCAUUUUCUUCUCCGAGCCUCAUGAAGAUGAUCCAAAGCUCCCUAUAACUUCAAAACUCUCAGAAAACUACACAUUUACGUGUGCAUGAACAAUACCUUAAAUCGGAGGUUAUGGUUUCUCGGGUUUUACAAGCUUUCAAGUCCUAAAAAUUG
rnacentral:lncRNA from 1 species